CCAACACAAUAACUAAAUGAAAAUUCAUGGAUUAUUGUAAGAAUUUAAUUUAUAUACAAAUUGUUGGUGUAAGAUAACUUUACAUUGACAAUAGAUAAUAAUUAAACUCUUAUUAUAAUAGGGCAUUUGUGUACUCUCUUACGUAAGACACGCCAUACAUAAUCAAAUAUGAACAUUAUAUUUUAUGCCACGGUAGAACACAUUGACAAUACCUUUGGAACAUACAUUUCGGGAUGAAAGGAGAUUGGCAUCUUUGUUUAGUACAAUCUGAAUCUCUAAAACAUGAUUGGCGUUUUGUGUAACGUCCCGCUGUAAUGAUAAGAUAUAAUAAAAUAGUAUGAUUAAAUUGUUAUAAAACAUGUAAAAAUUAAAGAAGGAAAAUUAAAUUGCACUUUUAAACUCCUAAUUUUUAUAAACUUGCGAUUUUAAUUAACUCUUUAACUUUGAAAAUAAUACUUUUAGUCUUUUAACUUUCACAAACUUGAGAUUUUGACCACCUAAUUUAGCCCUUUUAAAAAAAGGAUGAUCCGCGCUGAUUUUGAUCAAAUCAACGUAUAUGUAGCAAAUGACUCAUAUGCCACAUCAGCAUGUUUUGCCACAUGGACAAUGACGUGACGUGAAUCACUUGCCACAUUUGCAUUGACUUCAUCAAGGGGUCAAAAUUGCAAGUUUUGUGAAUAUUAGAGGGCCAAAAUUUCUAUUUUAAAAGUUAAGAGCAUAAAAUUGCAAAUUUGUAAAAAUUAAGGGGUCAAAAGUAUAAUUUAACCGAUAAUAAACUUUAAAAAGGACCAAAAUGACUUACCUUCGACGUUUGUUACGACAAGAAAUAGCAAAAGAAAAAUAAUUAUAUCAUAAACUAAGUUUAUAAUUUUAGUCAUAAUUAUAUUCUCUACAAGACAUGUAACAAUUAG
rnacentral:lncRNA from 1 species